CUUGACUUCCUGCUGAACAGCGCUCGCCUUGUUAUCACGCUCCUGUAAACACUGACUUUCAACUGUGACCAAAGUAACUUUAUCAUAUGGAAGAGAGACAAGAGUAAGGACGGGGCGCCAGGAGAAAUGAUCACCAGCAGCCCCUGCUUUAAAAAUUGUGCUUCCGAAAUCUCUUGAUGGCGAUUCCGCAAGAAGGGUGGUUUAUCCCCACCCCUCCUGUGCCAAACAUAGCAGAAGCCCUUUUUAACGAUGACUCUGAACAUCCCACCUCCUGACCGGUGGCAACAUGUUCCUCACUCAGAGGUUUGGGAGCUGUGAAAGUGCCUCUGUGUUUGCGUCUUCUACUGUGCGUGGCAUAGUGCAAAUGAUAAUAAAUAUACGUCAACAAGCA